GUCGCUUAGUGAUACCCUACUACAUAUUCUCUAUUACCAGUUCAAAAAAAGGAACAAAAUAGUGACGGACUUUUAGCUUGAUAAGUCAUAUCUUUGUAUUUAUUAUUAGUCGCUUAGUGAUACCCAAGUGGUGCUGGUGAGUCCUUCAGCUGUUGUCCUUGGUAAUGAAUGUCAGAUGCAUAGUGGUUGACAUCGCGAUGAUGAGCCUCAUCAGCCCGAACAACCAAGACAACAUCGCGGAGAGUGGCAUCCUUAGGCAGUCGCCAGUAAUCAAUAGCAAUAGCGGGAGCAGGAACGUUCUCAAUGUUACCAUUGUCCAAUUCCUUGAGGAACUCGGUGUACGAAUGUACAGCCUCUUCU
rnacentral:misc_RNA from 1 species